ACUCAAAGUCCCCAUUCCUGGCGCACAACUGAAACACUCACAGUAAGAACAGACACCGAACAAGCGCACAGAACCAGAUCCAGCAGCGCGACUGUGGAAAUCCUGGACAAAACAGCCUUUUCAGCAUUACCAGGGCAGCCAAAGAGAACAAUGUAUGCAACUCAUUGAGCCAGACAGAAAGUACUGCACCGCACAGCCAGCCACCGCUGUUCUCCUCUUCCUCAUAUACAAUAGCACAGCAGUCACACGGCAGACUGACAUGGCCAUAGAGAGUGUGCCAGCAUCCCCUGGUGCGGACGGCACAGUGCUGGAUUGGGGGGAGUGGGCACUGCAUCGGCUGCAGGUGGAACCCUGGGCGUUGGGUGGUGCAGUUGUCAUAGCUGCCUUCCUGGCAGGGUUUCUCGCCCUGCUGCUCUUUGCCUUGAUUUAUGGAUGCUGCAGCGCUGCAAGCAGAAACAAGACCAACAGGAACGGAGUAGUGUAAACACAUGCAGUGUCCCCUGGAUAGCAACAAUGCACGCAGGUACCGUGGCAUUGUUCAUCGACAGUGCUAGUUACUGAGCAGCAGUCCAUGAACAUUUGCUGAGCUGCCACCAAAGGAACCAAUCUGCAUUUCUGUGAAUGUGAAGACCAAUUCAGAUGUUUUGUAUUUCUUGCUCUGGUGACCCACCCAUGCUUAUGAUUUAUUAUACCCAGCAUUGUUUCCUAUGAGGUGUGCCAUCAGUCCUCUACUGCCCCCACCUGCUGAUAAUGUAACAUAACUGUACACAUAAAUGGGAAUAGUAUUGUACUUGCUGUCCAUUCUGAUGUACAAAAAUUGUUUCACAACAAAAUAAUAAUAAUUUCCAUAUAAUAAAAGUAAACAUUUGUCAA